CAAGAUAGUGCAAAGAUACAGUAAGUUAUUGUGAAGAGGUGGAAGUGCACCUAUCCCAUUUUGUACCAUGUGCGCAUGUUUUCACCCGAUUUUUUAAACCGGAAAUGGCAAAAAAAGAAAAGAAAAAGGGAGCGGAUCCAAGGACAGCACACACUUCAGAUAGUUAGUUUUCGGUAUUGUUGUUUUUUUCUUUCUUUCUUGUUUGUAUUUUUAUUUAUUAUUUUAUCUUCUUAUUUAAUAAGAUACACAUAUAAAAAGUCAAUAAGGUAUGAUUUGUUUUUAAAAAAGAAUUAUCUUUCUUCAUUCUUCUUUGAAACAAAGGACAACAUAUUUGCUGCUCUCAUUACAUAAUAUGAUAGAUCAGAGACAUACUCCAUCUCGACACUGUCAUAUUCUAUCAUGCUUCCAUGUGGUAUCUUAUAACUUGUAAGAUUGAUCGUUGUUCGUCAUCUUCACAUUUUUUUUAUGUACUUUUUCUGUUCAAUGCACUCACAGACCCUGGCGUUUGCUUUUGGUCACUCUUUCGAAGCUUUUAACUCUUGCAGUCUGACAUCACUUGUGUUUCUCUACAUUUAAAUCUCAAUCUAAUACUCAUCAAUAUUUGAUCCUCAUCGAAACCUACCAAUAGUCACUACUGUAUAUAAAUUCAUAUGUAACCCUUGCAUGCUUAUUUUCAAUGCUUUUUAAGUGGUGAUGGUAGUGGUGGGGGUAGGGGUCUAAAAUCCGUUUUAAUUUUACAGUUUUUAUGUUCAUUUCACAUAAAAAUGUUAUGUUCAUGAGAGUUUUGAUAUUAUGAUACAUUAUAUUCAAUACUGUUGUAAUUUAACAGUUUUUGGUACACAGUGAAAACAGCAGGAAACGCAGUAGCAGAAAUAAGGUUGUAUACAGCAUUGCAUGUAAGAGUGGACCAAACAGCUGAGCUUUUUAAAAUGAGUGACAAAAUAAUUUGCAUCAUAAUUUAAUCAUCAUUUUGAGUUUGAUACAUGUAUAAUGUAAACAUAACACACUCUUUAAGUACUAAUGAUCAGUAACAUUAUUUAUCUCCUAUUUACACAGCUAACAGUACCGUAAUCAUGAUACUACACUAUUCGAUUGACUCUCUGAUUUAUCCGAGAGUUCACUGGUUUUUUGCACUGUGACAGUCUCGUAGAUAUGCUCAUCCUGCUCCUCUGAACCAUAACGAUCACUGGUCUGUACACCGUUAAAAUAGGUUUGUCGGUGAUUGUCCC